CCCGUCAUAUCAAAUGUUUAGACACAUGCAUAGAGUACUAAAUAUAGACUAUUUACGAAACUAAAAACACAGCUGGAGAGUAAUUUGAGAGAUGAAUCUUUUAAGCCUAAUUAGUCUAUGAUUGGAUAAUAAUUGUCAAAUAAGACGAAACUGCUAUAGUAUCUGUUAAACUUUACCACCCAAACCAAACACCCCCUUAUAUCCUGCAGGACUUUGAAUAUUCUGAGUUUUAACCAUGUUGCAGCAGACAUUGCUAAUCACUUUUGUUUGAUGAUUACCAUGCUGCACUGGCCAUUUGGGUGAACAAGAUUAGGUCUGCUAUGUUGUCCAAGGGUGAAAAUCUAAGAGUUCUUUGAUAGGCUACUUGCUGCCAUAAAGUAGUGGAGUAGUCAUAUAAGUAGAGAGUCUAUCCAGUUCAGUUCAAUUUUUAGUUCAGAGUUUUUAAUGCAAGAUUGUUUGCACAAAAUCAAUGCCAGAAAGGAGCCAUCAUAUGAGACAUAGGAGGCAAGUCUAGAAAGUAUGGAUAAGAAAGGUAAGAAGCCCAUGCAUUCAGAACCCACUUUGACCGCUCCAAGUCCGACAACAUUCAGAAAUAGGGGCAUCCAUUGGUUUUCUUGGAUUUUGGAGUGAUUUAGUUGAUUCCAAACAAGGACAAUCUCUACUUUCCUACUGUCUGCAGAUCAGAGAGGAUAAUUAAUUUGACUUGAUGGUUGCCAUCCCUGAUCACCAAUAUGGGAGAAUGAUACUGUAAUUUGGAGAAGCGGACAAAUCUGGGAAGGACAUUUUCUCUUUGAAAUGUAUAACAUCUCCACUAAUAUUUUUGUGAGGCGAAUUGGAUUUUUGUACCUCAUCGGCCUGUGUUUCUGAUGUUAGGUAUACUGAAGGUGCAACUAAAUUUGAAAAUACCUUUUGAACAUUGCCCAU
rnacentral:lncRNA from 1 species